GAAAAUUGGAAGAAUAUUCUGGUAAGAAAUUUGCUUCUCUCUUACCAGAAUAGAAAACUUUCUUUUUCUUAAUUUGCUGGUUCAUUUUCUAGGCAACUGCCCUUCUGUUUUGCCGUUUUAUCAGCUCUCUUUGGUCUGCGAGCGGGGAGGCCUCCCUUUCCUUGAUCCAGUUAUGGGUCUCCCUCUCUAUCCCUGAGUUGGAGUAUUGUUAUUUUUUUUCUUUUUUAUUUUUUGGUGGUGUCUUUUUGCAGCUGAAGCUAUUGUUGUCUUUUUUUCUUUCUUCUUUGGAAGUUUGCUUUUGCAAGGAUCAUUAAGGGAGCAAUCUAUGCUACUCUUGAUCUUAAUCUAGAGACAAGGUGUAGCAAGCAACUGCAUGUCUUCCUUGCAUGGCUCAAUCCUGCUUUUCCGAGUUUGUUAGAGCUCCAGGGUUGUUUGCCUUUGAUCCCUUAUUUCCUCCUAGCUUUGAUUAGUUUCCUAUGUCUGGUUUGAUGAUCUCGUCUGGGAGCCAACAGUUUUGAGAACUUUGUAUUUUCCUUCGGCGACAGUGCAUAGAUGGUCAGAUCGUGUUGCUGAAUCCGAGUUGGACCCCCAGAUUAGCCUGG
rnacentral:lncRNA from 1 species